rnacentral:lncRNA from 1 species
UGAAACCCCAUCUGUUCUCAAACGCUCUCAAAACCUAACCCUAAUAACCUCACUGACCCUCGUCCAUGGCUAUCUCUGAUGACUCCUCACCACCUCCAAGACCUCCAUUUGCCUCCCUUAUGUUAAUCUUGCCAUCUCCAGGGCCCUCAAGGGAUUAGGGAUAGUUGACUUUCAUCUAUGGUUCCUCUCUCGCCCGUUUCAGGCCAUUCCAGUGUGAUUUUGAGUAAGAUCAUCCUAUCUUAACAAUAAUCUAUGGGUUUCUAAGCAUGUUUCUUUACCUCUGUAUGGUUCUCUUUGAACUCCUAAUUUCUUUUCAAAACCUCUUAGAUCUAUAUAAAUCCAAGAUGAUUUGGGUUUGUUUUAUGUAAGUUUUACAACAGCCUUAAAAUUCUUUAUAAGAAUUGUAUGAUUUUUAAGUGAUUCUCAUCUUUUCCUAAACUAGGGGUACCGGGAUUUCUUUUUACAAAUUGUUUGAUGACUUUUUUGUGUUUAAUCUUCUACUUCUCAUAUAUUUUUACUGAUUUUGUAAGUCUUCUACUACUUUAGCCAUUUGUACUGAAAACCCUAAUCUUAUGAUAUUCUUCGUUUGGUCGAGUGCUGGUAUAUCUGAUUAUGUUCUUGCUUUGGGUUCUUGUGAUUUCUUAUAAUUUUCUUGUCCUAAUAUUCUUCUACUGAAUGUCUGAGUUCAACCCUUUCACUGAUUCUAUAUUGCUUAUGUUCAUCCUGACUAUUCAUGUCAAGACCUAUAUUUUUCUCAUUGAAUUAGUGAUUGUUUAACUUUUUAUCUUGUUAAAGUUAUGUGGAAUCCUAACUAUUCAUGUUCUACCUUAUUUUAUAGGCAACAUACAUAGUUUACCCAUUAAACUUGCACCGAAAUUUCUGUUAGAAACCUUUUUCAAGGAAAACUUUUUAUAUACUCAACCUUUUAAAAGUGUGUCUAAAACACCAGAUUCUAUAUUACUUCUGUUCAUCCUGACUAUUCAUGUCAAGACCUGUAUUUUUCUCAUUGAAUUAGUGACUUUUUAACUUGUUAUCUUGUUAAAUUUAUGUGGAAUCUUGACUAUUCAUGUUCUACCUUAUUUUAUAGGCAACAUACAUAGUUUACCCAUUAAACUUGCACCGAAAUUUCUGUUAGAAACCUUUUUCAAGGAAAACUUUUUAUAUACUCAACCUUUUAAAAGUGUGUCUAAAACACCAGAUUCUAUAUUACUUCUGUUCAUCCUGACUAUUCAUGUCAAGACCUGUAUUUUUCUCAUUGAAUUAGUGACUUUUUAACUUGUUAUCUUGUUAAAUUUAUGUGGAAUCUUGACUAUUCAUGUUCUACCUUAUUUUAUAGGCAACAUACAUAGUUUACCCAUUAAACUUGCACCGAAAUUUCUGUUACACACCUUUUUUAAGGAAAACUUUUUAUGCACUCAACCUUUUAAAAGUGUGUCUAAUACAUACCUUUUCAAUACUAGACCACUUUUUUCUCAUCAAUCAUGCACCAAUAAUAAUGUGACACGUGUUGUUCACUUCAAAAAACUUGAAUUUAUAAUUAUUUCCAUCUUCUUCAUCUUCCCCAGGCUGUACCACCAUAGCUGCCCCCACCUCCACCACCUAAAGAUUAAUUUUAAUUCUUAAAUUAUUAGGAUAAAAUUGAAUCUCUAUCAACACACUACCAAUUAAAUAGUUUCCAUAAAAUUUCUUUGUAAUUGUAUCUUCCCUCUUUCAAAACUGACCAACAGAGUAUAUAGUUUGCAACAACAACAACAACUAUCCAGUAUAGUCCCACAAAGUGGGGUAUGGGGAGGGUAAUAUGUAGACGGACCUUACCUCUACCCGAAAGGGCAGAGAGGCUGUUUCUAAUUGACCAUCGGCGUAGUGGAGGAAAGGGACAACAAAAACAAAAACAACAACAAAAGAGCAUUAGUGACUUCAGCAUAAAUAACGUAAAUAAUUGUCUAAACGUAAGAACUAUAAAUAAAAUAGCAUGCAAUAAUAUCAGACAAUAACUACCAUAAGUAACUACCAUAAGGGAGACACAAUCCAAUACACAACAGAGUAUAUAGUUUGAGUACCAAAAUUGCUUACACCAAGCAACAGUAAGAAUAAAAAAGAACCCAAGAACAAAAAUUCUUAACCCAUCAAUGGGUGAAAUGAAAGAAACUCCACAAACCCAAAUAGAAACUACAAAAUUUCACAAAACACAUAUGAAGAACUUCAUGAAUUUUUUCCUUUAGCAUUUGGCCACCGUGGCAGCUCAACAAUGUCAUUCAAUGAUCCUAUGUUGAAUAUGAAUCUCUGAUUUUUUUUAUCCUCCUCUAAAUCUUGGCAAAAAUAUUUUGUGGUAUGGUAGUAUUAGAGGUGAUGAUGCAGUAAUGGAAAAAGAUGAAAAUAAUAGUGAAUUUUUAUUCUAAAAAAUGAGAGAAAAGGAUAGAGAAAAAUGAAAAUAUAAAAAGGUUGGACAAGUUUUAGACACGAAAUUUUAAUUGUCCAUUCGCCUAUUAUGUGUAAAAAAUACGUGAGUGGCACGUAAUUUUAAAGUUGUGUUUUCGACAUGCUAUUAAAAAGUUGAGUGUAUAAGAAGUUUCCCGUAAAAAAAGGUGUGUAACAGAAAUUUCAGGCAAGUUAUAUGGGUAAAGUAUAUAUUUUGCCUAUUUUAUAUGCUAAAUAUGCUGACCUUUUCAUGACUAUUUCUUUGAUUAUUCUGAAUUUCUGGUUUCUUAGUUUGGUUUGAACACUUUCCUUUAAUCUUUCGAUUCUUACCUCAUUACUCGAUUUGAUUGAAUUGCUUGCCUUAAUUAUUUUUUCCUUUCCUUGUUUGUAUUUUGCUGAUUCUUACUAAUUUGUUUCCCUAAUUAAAACUUCUGUUCAUUUACCCCUAAUUACCUAAUCUAUACCCAAGCCUUGCUUGAUUCUGUUCCUUAAAUAGUUAGCAUGCUUUUAUUGUUGAUUUAAUUAUCCCUUGAUUAAGGGAAGAUUUGCUAAUUUAUAUGUGACUUCCCUUAUUUUCUACUUAAUUGAUCUCUUCCCUUAUUUGUUAAGAUUUUGAUUACAAUACAAAUCCUCUGUUAUUUUUAAGUUCUGAAUAAAGAACAUUAGUUCAAAAAUCACUACUCUUUACACUUUAAAGUUCUCUUUCUCUUCUGCUACUUGUGAUACUCACUGAUCUAGACGGCUGAAAGCCAAGAAUAGAUAUUGGAACUUUAUUGCUUUACUUUCUACACUCUUUUCUUCAACUGGUAUGUCUCUAUGUUAAGUUUUUGAAAUCCGAAGCCUAUAUGUUUCAUUCCUGCACUAGUUCAUCCGUUAUGAACCCAACUUGCAUUUCUGCUUACUUAUUUGCUCAGCAUGUCUAAACUCUAUUCUAUUCAAUGUUGCUUUAUAUUCUGCACUUUUUCCUGCCUACUUUCUACCUAGCAUGUUUAAUCCUGUUCGAGGCAUGUCAUGCUUCCUGUAUCAUAACUAUGAUCUAUGUCUCAACUACUUACUGUCUAUGUUUAACCUGUUACAUCUCUAAGACCUAAGUGUUUGAUACAAUUUUGUGACUGUAUGGUACCCCUAUACUCCAUCCAUGUCCCCCCAAUGUGACUCUUACGUGCCCCAAUCCCUUUAUCCUCAUGAGAGAUCUAUUUGUUAAGUUGUUUUCUAAAUCUGGAUGUCUCUUAUUACCAAUUGAUUGUUUGUUGUUUUGGUACUCUUCUCAAACUGUCUUUACUACCAAGUUAUUCCUGUUGCUGAAAAACCUUUAUAUUUCUAAAGUCAUUUAUGUACUAUUUUCAAAACAAAGCCAUGUUAAGCACUCUCCCUUUACUAUUAGGAUAUUAGGUUCUCCCCUCAGAUAUAUGUACUGCCUUGAGACCCUUGAAAUAUCCCUAAACUCUGGCAUAUCAGAGUUGGCCUUUCAACACUCCACCUAAAUUAGUUAUUGUUUGAGAAAAGGUCUAGGUUUGAGCACUGCCAGGGAUCCUUAGGGAACUUUGACACACCUAGACAUGAUAUUGUGUAUCGAACCUUGGAAUUUGAGUCUAUUGGAGGCUUGGAAGUCAUUUAGGCCUACUACAAGCUCCCUAUAGAUUAACUUAUGUCUAUUUAUGUAUUUUUAUUUAAUUCAUUGGUCUGCAAUAAUUAUUGUAAACAACAUUGGGAUGAUUAGUGAAAAUAAGAUGGGUAGUUAUAUACAUGUUGGGAAAAUUGGGUAGAUACUAUGCCUAUAUAGUUGUGUUAAUUCGAAUGUAUUUGCUAUGUUUGUUUUACCAUAUUGGAAACCAUGCCUAUAGGAUAUGAAUGACUUUAAUAAUAGAGAUUAUUCCUAUAGAGUUGUACUAAUUCCUAUGUAUUUGCUAUGUUUCCGCAAUAUUAGAAACCAUGCCUAUCAGGUUAAAAUCAGCCUUAUAAUUAGAUAUCAUGCCUAUUGAGUGUAAAAUAAUUGAAGUUCGGUUAUGCUAUAGCAGAAACUCGCUUACUUAAAAAUAAUGUCCAUAAAAUUUUAAAAAAAAGUUUGAUUCACAUUCGUUUACUCUGAAUUGGAUUAGUCAAUUAAUCUGUCGCCACUUUAAUAAGCUCUCAAAUGCCGCCUUAAGUUAAUCUGCUAGAAAGCAUGCAUAUAGGACCUCAAGUUGUCAUUUUACCAUUUUACUGCAUUCCUAAUCAAUCUAGGUAUCAUGCUCUUAGGAUACCACUGUUAUGCGUUUAGAAAAGCCUUUAGGGCAAUUUAAAUUCUGUAACUUAAAAACUGUGAUGUGUUAUUUAAAACUGUUCAGAUUUAAAAGCUCUAAAAUCAGUAGGCAAGCUAAAUAGGUCUUUGAUAAUUUGUCCUAAUUCAAUGCUAUAUAAUCCCUGCUCAUCUAGAUAUCAUGUUCUAGGAUCUUCUCUUAAAUACCUGACUAUUGUUUGAAGACGUGCAUUUACUUGUAAUAUUUAUGGAGGUGACUGUGAGCCUGUAAUUUGUUCUCUUUAAAUACAAUCCUAAGUGUUCUUGAUUGACGCCUAGUUUUUUAUCCUUUAAAAGCUUAGGAUGGUCUAGAACUGUCCAAAAGUAGAGAUCCUAAAAUACAUCAAGGUCCAGGAGGAAGGGAUAGGUAGUGCACGCAUAAGACAUUCUCAAGAUUGCUAGAGCGCUUUAGGCUAUGACCAAGGGGAGGGAAGUGGGUUGUAAGGAUACGAUGACUACGCGCUAAUUUCAUGUGUAUCCUCUCAUUGAGGAAUGAUUAUCGGACAUUUUAUGGGGUGAUCCUCUAAGAUAACCAACCUAGGACCCCUCUUUCUGAUUCUCGAUGUUUAAAAUCUACUUUUCUCUAUAUAUGCAACUUGUUAAAGUCUUUUCCUUUUGUAUCAUUACUUCAUUCGUAUAAUGUCCAAAACUUGCCUUUAUUUGCAAUUAUGUGUUUAAACUAUUUAUUUGUAAAAAUGACUAAUGCAUAAGUAUAAGUUCAGGCGGGACCCACCGAUGUGGACCGAGAGGGGUGCCUAACACCUUUCCCUCACGUUUAUUUAGAGCCCUUACCCUAAAUCUCUAUUAAUGCAAACUAGUCUAAGAGUUAAUCACUCUAGGUGCCCUAACGUACUAUAGUCCGAUUGGUGGCGACCCUUCAAAAACCCAAACUCCCAAAAGAAAGUGAGUUAUUACCCCCAUAAACGUCAGAACCCGGACUUCUCUCUCUCUCUCCGGGAAGGGAAAAAAGGGUGGCGCGACUACAUGGCGACUUUGCUGGGGAUAUUUUGGGCUCUUACCAUAAACGAACUUAUUGUUGUGAAUUAGGCCAAGCAUGCCUUAUCCCAUACCCUUUCCCUUAUUUUCAUUUAAUUGUUUAUUUUCAAGCAUUUAUGAUUCUUUUCACAGAAACUCAUUUUUCUCUUUGUUUUCUUUCUGUCACUGUCUUUCAAUUAUUAAUACCGUAUUUGUUAUUUUUCUACAUACAAAUACUUGAAUACAUGCUUUUUAUUGCUGCAUAAAUCAUGCUCUACAUCAUAUUCCACUCGUGCAUAUCAAAUCCUAUAGCAACAUUUGAUAAAUGGUUGCGCUCUUCCUAUUUAUUAUCCUUAAAUUUGGAAAGACUUAUUUGUUGUAAAAAUAGUCGAUCAGCGAUGCAGUUGAUUGUUCCGUGCCUUUCCCCCUCAAGUUGUCCGUCCGAGGGUACCAAUCCAAACCCCCAAAGUAACCUUACUCUGAUCGAAAUGGUGUAUGAAUCAUGGUCAAAACUAGUCAGAUCAAUGUGUCCUCCACAUAAUGAUCCUUUAAGAUGAGCCUUAUCCAAAAGUCCACCGGGGUUUCCACAAUCCCAACUGACACAACCAUGUUUUGUGCAUUAAUUUAGAGAAUUAAAUGCUGAUAUGCUGAUCAUAAAUGUAUAAAUAGUGGAGUCAGGUGGGAGGGAAAAGGGCCUAACCUGUUUCAUUUUGCAGAAAAUAAGGCAUGAGGUCCUCAGAUUCGGUAUGGUUAGAAUCAUUCCACCAUUGCUGCUAGACUGGUGGGGGGACCUUUCCUCAAGUGACAAGAAAUGUGUAAGAAAGUAACUGGGUAACUUGCCUUCUCUACUUGAUAUUGAGCCAAACAAAAAAUUGAUCAAAGCUUCCACUUUAUUUUGGGAAGUGAAAG